CCUACGGGAGGCACCAGUGGGGAAUAUUGGGCAAUGGGCGAAAGCCUGACCCAGCGACGCCGCGUGGGCGAUGAAGGCCUUCGGGUCGGAAAGCCCUGUCAUGUGGGAAGAACUGUUUCGUGGCUAAUAUCUGCGAGAUUUGACGGUACCACAGGAGGAAGCACCGGCUAACUCCGUGCCAGCAGCCGCGGUAAUACGGAGGGUGCAAGCGUUGUUCGGAAUUAUUGGGCAUAAAGGGCGCGUAGGCGGUUAUGUAAGUCAGAUGUGAAAUACUUCAGCUUAACUGAAGAACUGCAUUUGAUACUGCACGACUAGAGUACAGGAGAGGGAAAUGGAAUUCCCGGUGUAGAGGUGAAAUUCGUAGAUAUCGGGAGGAACACCAGUGGCGAAGGCGAUUUCCUGGCCUGAUACUGACGCUGAGGCACGAAAGCGUGGGGAGCAAACA
rnacentral:rRNA from 1 species